UGCAGUGUUCAGGUGUGUAGAGGUACUGUGCUUUUACUGCAAUCGUACAUUCAAGUUAAUAUUGGAUUUGUUUAUAUAGCACAUAUUUAAAAACAAUAUCUGUAUUAACUAGAGAUUUGGCUUUAAAACAGUUACAUUGUUUAUUGGGUGUGUACGGUACAUGACAACGAGACUUGUCAGCUGCUAAAAUCGGUAUAUUGUUGCUGGAAGCGCUUCACUGGCGUAUAUACAGUUUAUUACAGUAUUUAUUGUUGAAAUACAGCGGUACAGAAAGCGGUUUUGAAAUGUUAUAUUUGUCUUCUAGUUUGUUAAAUUAAACCGCUAGCAUGUUCUACGUGUUCGGGCAAACAUGAAAGUAUAGCUCACAAAAAGAAGGUGCAAGGGACUGUUCUUGGUAAUUAUGUGUAUGGACGCAAUGGAGGUUAAAAUAGAACCGAAAGUAGUCCAAUCCUGCUCAUACCAGAAAAAGAGAUUCACAAAAUGGAAGCCCAGGAAGUGUUUCAGUGGCGGUGGUCAGAAAAGCUUACUAAAGUGGAAGCGUAACUCUACCCAGGCAUCAAGAAAAUACCGACGACAAGGCCUCCGUCUGACGGGGAAACACGGACAUGGAAACCGAAGGCUUUUUAUCUUCAACGGUGCUGAUUGCAACAAAAACGGCCAGACUAUUCCGGGUAUGCAAGCGCCUAGAAACACUACGCAGUAUCUUAUGCACCUUGUUUACCAGGAUCUUGUAAACGAUUCAGUUAAAUGUCAGGAUUCUGAAUUUGAAAGCGCUUGUAGUCCUGUUGCAAGUGACUUUGCUUUUCAAUACAUGGGACCGGAACUGCUUUACUACGAGACUGUCUCUUCUCAAAGCAUUUGCAGUCAAUCAAACAUCGAUUUGGAAGAGACUCGUGACAUUAUACGCUGCGACUUUGAAAACAUUUUUUAAUGUUUAAUGGAUCGAAAACAGUUGAAGUUCCAGCUGAAUUUACAACACAGCGAUUGACUUUAAGACUGCGACCAUUGAGUGAAUCAGAAGCAGCCUGUCUGCAGAGCCGUUCUCAUCCUUGCAACCUGCAGACCUCAACCUCCGGAGUCUGAGAAUUCAGAUCUGCAGUUGGCAUCUGGUGUGGUCUCCAGGUAAAUGUGCCAGCUGAGAAUACAGGUACACUGUGGCAUGUUUUUGCUAUUGAGCAAAUUGUGUAUUAUCUGUACACUUACAGAAGACAACACAGGUGCUACAAAUGUCUGCAAAAGUCUAGUUCUCCUUAGCCACUGGGUAGAUGUACAAAGUGUCUAAGGUUAUAACUUUACUCGACUCAUCAUAUAUUCACAGAUUACAUUUUAUUUAAUUUCUUCUAGGGUCAGCCUUCAGAGUACACCGAGAACUUACUUGGAAACCAGUUUUGAAUUAAUUUUUUAUUUUGUUCAGGUAUCGCAGUUCAGGAGGACGGGAGCCUGUUGGGUCCCAUGCUGGUAAUUCACUUUUAUCCUUAAAGUAGGUCAUGUUACAGUGAGGCUGCAGAUCUCCAACAACUUCAAAUAGACCACUUUUCCCAGUUUGUAAGGAUGUUAGUGGGGUUAAACAGCUGUUGUACCAAACCUCCCAGCAGAAAAUUGUUACAUAAUUUUAUUGGGACUUUACAUUGCUUGAUAAUUUGAUGCUCAUACAACAACCGUGGUGGGGCCUAUAUAUUUAUAAGUAUUUGUGCAACGACAUAAAUACGACAAAUACUGGUUCAGACAUUAUCCUUUUGCUAUGAUAUUAAGUUGGCCGUAUAGGGGCUAUGCUUCAUAAAUACUGUCUUGCAUACAAACAUUAUUACUAAUGCUUCUACAGUUACUAACAUUAAACGCAAUAAAUAUCACGCGUGUAUUUUUUGUUAUUAACUUUAAAUAUAUACAAUUUGUCGACCAUUAGUGUGUGUAAAGCUGUCUUUUGAUUUGUAGAUGCAAAAACAAUUGUAAACAUUGGAAAUCUUGCAGAUACAACUGAUUUUUUUUUUAUAGUGUUUAGUUAUUUAACUCCUCACCAAUGAAGUAAAAUUAAUUAGGUUCACAUUUCUUGUCUGCCUGGAUUAGGUAGAUGUUCCCUUUUUGAAGUUGAACAUUCUUUCUCAAGGAUGGGAGCCAUUUCACUUGCACAGAGUUUUGUUUGGAAAUCCAGUCACUUGUGUAAACUGUUAAUUUACUGCUUAAAUAAGUUCAGUCUUUAAGCCUUUAAACAUCAGUUUUUCAAAGUGUAUAUAUAUUUUUUUGUCUCAAAGGUAAAAGUAAUUUGACUGGACUUUUAAACUUGAGGUUGUAGACCUAUGCAUUCACCAACCAAUUGUAACACAGGCAGUACACACAACCAGCUAGUUUAACAGUGGAAAAAUUCUGGUUAGAAACUGGAUGUAGGAAAAGCAAGUGACAACAAGAAAACUGCUAGUAAAAAUGACAAACCCCAUUUUGAAAUGUGACCUGUCUAAGAAGCUGAGAUGAUGUGCAGUUUGUAUUGGAGGUAUAUUUAACAUUUUGCUGUGAUUGAUUUAUUACAGCACUAGGAACGGGACAGGUAACAGUGAUGUUUUGAUAAUGUUAAAUAAAUAAAAAAAAUAAAAUUACCAGAAA